UACGUAGGGCGCAAGCGUUGUCCGGAAUUAUUGGGCGUAAAGAGCUCGUAGGCGGUUUGUCGCGUCUGCUGUGAAAACCUAAGGCUCAACCUUGGGCUUGCAGUGGGUACGGGCAGACUAGAGUGCGGUAGGGGUGACUGGAAUUCCUGGUGUAGCGGUGGAAUGCGCAGAUAUCAGGAGGAACACCGAUGGCGAAGGCAGGUCACUGGGCCGGCAACUGACGC
rnacentral:rRNA from 1 species